UGGGGAAUAUUGCACAAUGGGCGAAAGCCUGAUGCAGCGACGCCGCGUGAGGGAUGACGGCCUUCGGGUUGUAAACCUCUUUCAGCAGGGAAGAAGCGAAAGUGACGGUACCUGCAGAAGAAGCGCCGGCUAACUACGUGCCAGCAGCCGCGGUAAUACGUAGGGCGCAAGCGUUGUCCGGAAUUAUUGGGCGUAAAGAGCUCGUAGGCGGUUAGUCGCGUCUGCUGUGAAAACUCGAGGCUCAACCUCGGGCUUGCAGUGGGUACGGGCUGACUAGAGUGCGGUAGGGGUGACUGGAAUUCCUGGUGUAGCGGUGGAAUGCGCAGAUAUCAGGAGGAACACCGAUGGCGAAGGCAGGUCACUGGGCCGCAACUGACGCUGAGGAGCGAAAGCAUGGGGAGCGAACAGGAUUAGAUACCCCCGGUAGUCCAUGCCGUAAACGUUGGGCACUAGGUGUGGGGUCCAUUCCACGGAUUCCGUGCCGCAGCAAACGCAUUAAGUGCCCCGCCUGGGGAGUACGGCCGCAAGGCUAAAAACUCAAAUGAAUUGACGGGGUCAUAGCUGUUU
rnacentral:rRNA from 1 species